rnacentral:rRNA from 1 species
UACGAAGGGGGCUAGCGUUGCUCGGAAUCACUGGGCGUAAAGCGCACGUAGGCGGCUUUUUAAGUCAGGGGUGAAAUCCCGGAGCUCAACUCCGGAACUGCCUUUGAUACUGAAAAGCUUGAGUUCGGGAGAGGUGAGUGGAACUGCGAGUGUAGAGGUGAAAUUCGUAGAUAUUCGCAAGAACACCAGUGGCGAAGGCGGCUCACUGGUCCGGUACUGACGCUGAGGUGCGAAAGCGUGGGGAGCAAACAGG